AUUGAACGCUGGCGGCAGGCCUAACACAUGCAAGUCGAACGAGUGGCGGACGGGUGAGUAAUGUCUGGGAAACUGCCUGAUGGAGGGGGAUAACUACUGGAAACGGUAGCUAAUACCGCAUACCAUCGGAUGUGCCCAGGUGGGGUUAGCUAGUAGGUGGGGUAAAGGGUCACCUAGGCGACGAGCCCUAUCUGGUCUUAGAGGAUGACCAGCAACACGGGAACUGAGAAACGGUCCAGAAUCCGACGUGAGGCAGCAGUGGGGAAUAUUGCACAAUGGGCGCAAGCCUGAUGCAGCCAUGCCGCGUGUAUGAAGAAGGCCUUCGGGUUGUAAAGUACUUUCAGCGGGGAGGCGUUACCCGCAGAAGAAGCACCGGCUAACUCCGUGCCAGCAGCCGCGGUAAUAC
rnacentral:rRNA from 1 species